CACAGAAGGAGCCAGACAAAGGUGGCAGUAACAGCCACCCGGACACACCAAGCUCCUAGUCUGCACACUAGCCCUUGCGAUAACAGAAGGCAUGGCUGAAGACUAGGCUGAACAGCCUUGGUUCCACUACCCACUGUCUCAGGGGCCCCUCCCUAGGCUCUGGGGUGGCCUGUCUGCAUUUUGCUGAGCCCGCAGAAGGGCGCGCUCCACCCAGGCACGCUCAGGACUCUGGGGCUCUCUCACAGGUCAGCUCCCUGAUGUCCGUGACAUCAAGGAAGACGUGGGUGGACAUACUGCUCCUCUGCUAUCCCAGAUGGUCUCCCACAUUCCCAGCCUCCCCGGCAGUUCUGUUUGGACCACAUGGGUAGAUCACGCUGGCCACUAGACUUGACCUUGAAGACCGUGGAUUAAAGUUGAGAUGGGCACAGUCACAAGACGAAGACACUUGGGGGAGCCUGAAAGGACGGCCAAACCCACCAGCCUCUGACGCAGCAAGAAAUAAACCUCUGCCGCUCUGCUGAGGGUUCUUUACCACAAGCGCCACCUGGGACUAUGAGUCUAUUCCCACCCAGCCCCCAGACAGUGCCGCUUGAUUUGGAGAUUCUUAGCCGAGACUGAAUCUAAGCCCACAGUGAGGAAGAAGAAAGUGGGGCUGGAA